rnacentral:lncRNA from 1 species
CAGAAUGUGAAAACUACUAUAGGCAUCUACCCCAUGAAACCACAUCACUUUGAUUCAGUUACUGCCCAUUAAGCUAGCCGAGCAUUUUGAAGCUAUUUCUUCAAUAGUUCUCUAAUUGGUUUGAUUCAGACCGUGAGUGGUCUUUUACAGUUGUUGCAGCUGAUCACCACGUUUAGGGGUUGUUCCUGAAGGCAGUAAUAGCAGAAGGUGUUGUAAAGUGGAGUGAAAUUGUCAGAUGUUUACCAAUCCAUUUUUUCCCAAUAUAUUUAUUUUUGGAUGGAAAAAUAAACAACAGAAAACACUACAAAUAUUAUUCUCAACACUUGCUGAAUGAACACAAGUCCCAGUGUUUUGUACCAUUGGAAACAUCCAGUUAGGACUGACUGCUGAAUUCAAAGAGAAAUGUAGAUGUACAAAUAGACAAAGUACGAUGUAUAACUACAGAUCAAGCCACAAAAAGGAUUCAGCAUAUAUCUCCUUGGUCUAAAUGUCUGUGCUUUGCACAUACUGCUGUGUUUG